ACAGGCUGGUUGGCGAUGAUGUCGUAGGACUCCAUGGCCGGGCCGCGCCGGCCCUGCCCAGCAGGCGGGCUGCAGGAGGCACCGGAUGGGCGGGCGGGCGGGAGGACCGGGACGGCGGCGGCUCCCGACGCGGCGCCGCUGCCCUCCCUCCCCGAGCCUGCAGCCUACGCGAGCCCCGCGGGGCUUUCUGGAGGGCGGGCCCGGCGGCCAAUCAUCGCUCCCACCUGGCCCGAUUGACAGCAGGUGCCCGGGGCUGGCUGCGCGAAGGGGGCGGGGCCUCCGGAGGCUGGCCAGCCAAUUGAGGUCGUCCGGAAAAAAGUGGUCGCGGCGUUGCCAAGGGUCUCACCUUGUUGCCCAAGCUGGAGUGCAGUUGCCUGAUAUCAGCUCACUGCAACCUCCACCUCCCAGGCUCAAGCUAUCCUCCUGCCUCAGCCUUCCAAGUAGCUGGGACCACAGGUGUGCACCAUCACGCCCAGACUAUGUGAAAAUGAGCUUAGCCCCUGGUGUUGUGUUGGAACUUCAGAUGCUUGCAGACACUUCAUGAAUGCUCUGUGACACUCAGAAUAGGCUAUUCCCAACAGAAGAGCUUGAACAAUGCUGCAUUUGCAUCAGGUUCAAAUGAGCGAGAGGAACAUUUGGCUAAAAUAUUUGGAACCAGCAUUGCUUGGAAUUCUCCUAAACCAGAAUAUUUCCUUGGCAGUGUGGACAAAAUUCCUGAUAAAGAUCACCUUUCAGAGGAGAAGAAUUUUAAAGAAUCCUGUCUGUUCGACAGGGAUUUAAGAGAGCAGUUAACUACUAUAGAUAAAGAAACACUUCAAGGAGCAGCUAAACCAGAUGCUCACUUUAGGACUAUGCCCUGCGGGCAGCUUCUGCACUUCCUGCAGAGGAACACCAUCAUCGCCGCCGUCUCAGGGGUGGCCAUCCUCAUGGCCAUCGUGCUGUUGCUGCUUGGGUUGGCCUCAUACAUCAGGAAGAAACAGCCAUCGUGCGUGGUGCUGGCAUAACCUUCCUUCCAAGAACCCGCGGGUGUUAGAACUCACGCUGCCCUCAGGGCUUCCUGCUGAUCUGGUUUACGAGGAGGGCAGAAGCUGCAAGCCUGGUUGUGCUUCAGCAUCCCCUGGCCUGCUCUGUCAAAGCACACAGGACCUGGGCCAUGGGUUUUCGGCACAGCCUGGGUGAUUCUGAUGCACAGCCGGGUUUGGGGAUCCCUGGGUGGGCCAGGGUUGCCUCUCAAGGCCACUACGGUUAGGCCAGACCUGUCCCCAUAUUGAGGGCUCUGGCUGAAAGAUUGGUAAAUAGGAAUAUGGAUUUACAAAAGAAAGGAAAAAUACAAAUCUAAGAGGGUGAGGAGGGCUGAAGCCACGAAGGAGAGUGAGAGCAGGGCUGAUAUUCAGCUCCUUCACAUUGGCACAGCUGUCCUGCUUGUUAGAAUACUGAAAGCCUUCCCCGAGCUUCCCACUGACCUCCUGAUCUUCUCCGUGAUCCUGCAAAUGAAGGAUUAGUGCCUGGCACAGCCGUGGCCCUCCAAGGCUCUGCUUCAGUGGUGGUCAUUUUGACUGGUCAGUGCCUGUCUACACCCCCGUCUACACCAGUUGUUAAAUAUUUUGGUUAGGCCUCUAGAUGAGGGGGCUCAGGCACAGAGGCACUCACCAUGAGCAGGCGCUAGGAAGCAAAUGGUUUGCACGAUGACGUGUAUGCAUAGCUGCAUUUUGAAAUUACGUGCUUCUUGCUGCGUCCCCAGGGACAUGUAUUCCUGACCACAGAAGGAAGAGCAGCUCCCCACAGCCCUUCAGUCCUGCCUGACACUGCACUGAAUGCUCAGCUUGCCCCUAGAGCAAUGGGGUGGAGGUGUGUGUUGAGGGGAAGUGUCCAUCCCCACCCCUACCCACCCUCUGACUCCAGAGGUAGCAGUGUUUGAAUUUCCCCACAAGAGUGGCAUUGCUUUCUCUCCAUGCCAAGGCUCCUGGAACUGGUGACUUAUUCAGGCCACCUCCCCCAACCCCCACCUCCAGCAUCCUCUUCCUACCAAGGCUCAUCCAUUGGACCUGCCAUUUUCCCUCCAUGCCCCUUGAGAUGCCAGCAGAAGUGGUCAGAACUGUGGCCCCUCCCAUAGGGACCAGUCAAAGUUGUGGGUGGCCUGAGUUAGUUAAGAGAAACUGGGGGGAAGAGAGUAUCCCAGAGGCUCUGUGCUGCCCAGAGGCAAAAAGAAUUUCACAGAUGACAAACCUUACUGAUGGGAAGCAGAAUCCUCACGCUGGGAAGCGUCAGCCUCCACCACUGCCCAGCGAGUAGACAGCAGGACUCCUGUGCGCUGAGCUGAGCACUGUGGUUUUUGUUAUUUUGUUUUAGAUCUCCUCUGGCAAACACGACAUAUAAUAUUUUUAUAAUGGAUGGAAAGACAUGGUGGCACAAUUCUGAAGAAAAAAAUUUCACAAAACUUGCAAAAAAACAGAAACAGUUGAAGAGCAGCUCCUGUGUCUAAGCCAGGUCGUGGGGCCGUCAAACCAGGACUUGAAACCACAAUGCGAGGACAUUCUCCAUCUGCGCACCACAGGGAGGCAAUUCCAUUUCUGCCCGGGAGGUGUAUUCUACAAAAACGUCUGCUUCCCAUCCCAAUUUGAAUGGACCAAGAAAAACUGCUUUACCAUAGGACACUUGUGGCAAUAUGGCACCGAUGGCUGGCGUCGGUGAACCCGACAGACUAUGGAUUUAUCAUUUAAUAAAGCAUUGAUUCAUUUUUUCAGUCAUUCAUUGAACAGAUAUUAAUAGACCACCUCACAUGCUGACAAUAUCAAAAUACAAUGAGGAAACUAACAGUGACCCAGGCAUGCAUUCUUCCCCGAGCAAGAUCACAGUCCAUGGUGUGAGCACAACCAUACUAAAUAGCUUUUAUGGGAGGUGGGAGUACAGAAAGUAUUAUAUCUGCAAAGAAACUGCUAAGAAUUGUGGGAGCGCCCCAGGAGGUGAUUUCCUGCUUGCGUGACCAGCACAAAGAAAUGGGGUAAUUGAGAGUGUCAUGAAGUGGGGUUAUUUAUUUAUUGAGUCGGAGUCUUGCUCUGUCACCCAUGCUGGAGUGCAGUGGCGUGAUCUCAGCUCACUGCAACCUCCGCCUCCCGGGUUCAAGCGAUUCUCCUGCCUCAGCCUCCCGAGUAGCUGGGAUUAUAGGUGCGUGCCACCACACCCAGCUAAUUUUUGUAUUUUUAGUAGAGAUGGAGUUUCACCAUGUUGGCCAGGCUGCUCUCAAACUCCUGACCUCAGGUGAUCCCCCCGCCUUGGCCUCUCAAAGUGCUGGGAUUAUAGGCAUGAGCCACCAUGCCCGGCCCAUAGAAGUUUUCAGUUCAUUUAUGCACAGUUUAAGCUGAGAAUGUGAAAGGCUAAACUCAUCCCUUUCUUUCCCCACUUUCUCCAGCAACCAGCCAAUAUCAUACUCCUCAGUUUAAUUAAAAUGUUCUCAGAUAUCAUCAAACACGUGGGCACCCAGAACCUUGCCUUUUAUAUGUGUUUGAUUGAGAGUAUCCAAUGGUAAUAUUUUGUAUAUCUCUAUUGCCACAUCAUGCCAUGGAGUACCUAAAUGCCCUCUUGGCCACUGGAAAUAGAUUUAAGAUUCUGUUCCUCUCUUCUAGUACCAAAAUUUGGAUGAGUCAGGGUCCCAUGAGAGAAACAGAACUAGUAGGAGGAUAUAUAGAGUAGUAAGAGAUUUUUUUAACUUUUAAUUUUUGUGGGUACAUAGUAGGGGUAUGUAUUUAUGGGGUACACGAGAUAUUUUGAUACAGGCAUGCCAUGCAUAAUAAUCACGUGAGGGUGAAUGGAGUAUCCAAAACCUGGUGCAUUUAUCCUUCAUGUUAUAAACAAUCCAAUUAUGUUCUUUUAGUUAUUUUUAAGGUGCAAUUAAAUUACUAUUGACUGUGGUCCCCCUACUGUGCUAUCAAAUACUAGGUCUUAUUCAUUCUUUUAUUUUUUGUACCUAUUAACCAUCCUUACAUCUCCCCCACCCCCACUACUCUUCCCAGCCUCUGGUAACCACCCUUCUACUCUCUAUCUCCAUGAAUUCAAUUGUUUUAAUUCUUAGCUCUCAGAAAUGAUGAGCGCAUGCAAAGUUUGUCUUUCUGUGCCUGGCUUAUUUCACUCAACAUAAUGACUUCCAGUUCCAUCUAUGUUGGUGCAAAUGACCAUUUUUUGAAUGGCUGAAUAGUACUCCAUUGUGUAAAUGUACCACAUUUCCUCAUCCAUUCAUCUGUUGAUAGACUGUUGUUAGGUUGUUUCCAGAUCUUGGCUAUUGUGAAUAGUGCUGCAAUAAACAUGAGAGUGCAGAUAUCUCUUUUAUACACUGAUUUCCCUUCUUUUGAGUAUAUACACAGCAGUGGGAUUGCUGGAUUGUAUGGUAGCUCUAUUUUUAGUUUUUUGAGGAACCUCCAAACUGUUCUCCAUAGUGGUUGUACUAACGUACAUUCCAUACAUUAGCAAUAAUGUAUGAGAGUUCCCUUUUCUCCACAUCCUCGCCAGCACUUGUUAUUGCCUAUCUACUGGAUAUAAGGGACAAUUCUUCUCUAGAGCCUCUGAGGGGCCUGCAGCCCUGCUAACACCUCGGUUUCAGACUCUGGCC
rnacentral:lncRNA from 1 species